rnacentral:lncRNA from 1 species
CAGUGUUGCUGUCAAGGGCCUUGUUGAUGUCUAUCCCUUCAACUUUCUUUUCAUCCAUCCUGUACCUCCUUGGAAGAGGGCAGAAAAAUAUGCUUUUCCUUGCAAGAGAGCAGACAAAGGCAAAGAGAAAGCAAACCGUAUAAGAAGUCUGGUUUAAGGUUCCCUUGGCUUGACCAAGAAAUCAUUUCACCAAACGUCAGUCAGACUAUCAGGUACCUGGAUCAACCCUAAAGCUCACAAUGUGAUGUGGCCUUCUCAGCAAAGCUACCCAGUCCAACGUGCUCUGAGAUGUGACAUGACAAGGAAGCAAUGCAGCAGAGGGGGCCUUCAGAAGAUCAUAGUUGACUGCCACCAAUGAAGCUCUCAUAUUAAAAUCACAGGGAAGACGCUGAGCACCACUUUGUAGCCUGAAACUGAUACUCCUUCCAGCAGGUGUCCGAACUCAACAACAAUCCAGGUCCAAAGGAAAAUGCAGAUUACACACUGGAACUCUAGGAAGAAAACAGCUCCAUUCUGUCCAUUGAAACGGCUUCUUAUUCACCGCUCACUAAUGACUGAUGUCCGAAAUGAAUUAGGAAGAUUCCCUUCUGACCUAAGAACCAUCAGAAGGUAUUUCCCAAGCAAGAAAUAAAAUAAAACCUGCAGCUCUGUAACC